UACGUAGGGGGCAAGCGUUGUCCGGAUUCAUUGGGCGUAAAGGGCGUGUAGGCGGCCAGGUAGGUCGGUUGUGAAAACUGGAGGCUCAACCUUCAGAGGUCGACCGAAACCAUCUGGCUAGAGUCCGGGAGAGGAGAGUGGAAUUCCUGGUGUAGCGGUGAAAUGCGCAGAUAUCAGGAAGAACACCCGUGGCGAAAGCGGCUCUCUGGAACGGUACUGACGCUGAGACGCGAAAGCGUGGGGAGCAAACAGG
rnacentral:rRNA from 1 species